rnacentral:rRNA from 1 species
GGGUUGUGAGGUUAAGCGACUAAGCGUACACGGUGGAUGCCCUGGCAGUCAGAGGCGAUGAAGGACGUGCUAAUCUGCGAAAAGCGUCGGUAAGGUGAUAUGAACCGUUAUAACCGGCGAUGUCCGAAUGGGGAAACCCAGUGCAAUUCGUUGCACUAUCGUUAACUGAAUACAUAGGUUAACGAGGCGAACCGGGGGAACUGAAACAUCUAAGUACCCCGAGGAAAAGAAAUCAACCGAGAUUCCCCCAGUAGCGGCGAGCGAACGGGGAGCAGCCCAGAGUCUGAAUCAGCUUGUGUGUUAGUGGAACGGUCUGGAAAGUCCGACGGUACAGGGUGAUAGUCCCGUACACCAAAAUGCACAGGUUGUGAACUCGAAGAGUAGGGCGGGACACGUGGUAUCCUGUCUGAAUAUGGGGGGACCAUCCUCCAAGGCUAAAUACUCCUGACUGACCGAUAGUGAACCAGUACCGUGAGGGAAAGGCGAAAAGAACCCCGGCGAGGGGAGUGAAAAAGAACCUGAAACCGUGUACGUACAAGCAGUGGGAGCACCUUCGGGUGUGACUGCGUACCUUUUGUAUAAUGGGUCAGCGACUUAUAUUCUGUAGCAAGGUUAACCGUAUAGGGGAGCCGCAGGGAAACCGAGUCUUAACUGGGCGUUAAGUUGCAGGGUAUAGACCCGAAACCCGGUGAUCUAGCCAUGGGCAGGUUGAAGGUUGGGUAACACUAACUGGAGGACCGAACCGACUAAUGUUGAAAAAUUAGCGGAUGACUUGUGGCUGGGGGUGAAAGGCCAAUCAAACCGGGAGAUAGCUGGUUCUCCCCGAAAGCUAUUUAGGUAGCGCCUCGUGAAUUCAUCUUCGGGGGUAGAGCACUGUUUCGGCUAGGGGGUCAUCCCGACUUACCAACCCGAUGCAAACUACGAAUACCGAAGAAUGUUAUCACGGGAGACACACGGCGGGUGCUAACGUCCGUCGUGAAGAGGGAAACAACCCAGACCGCCAGCUAAGGUCCCAAAGUCAUGGUUAAGUGGGAAACGAUGUGGGAAGGCACAGACAGCCAGGAUGUUGGCUUAGAAGCAGCCAUCAUUUAAAGAAAGCGUAAUAGCUCACUGGUCGAGUCGGCCUGCGCGGAAGAUGUAACGGGGCUAAACCAUGCACCGAAGCUGCGGCAGCGACACUAUGUGUUGUUGGGUAGGGGAGCGUUCUGUAAGCCUGCGAAGGUGACCUGUGAGGGUUGCUGGAGGUAUCAGAAGUGCGAAUGCUGACAUAAGUAACGAUAAAGCGGGUGAAAAGCCCGCUCGCCGGAAGACCAAGGGUUCCUGUCCAACGUUAAUCGGGGCAGGGUGAGUCGACCCCUAAGGCGAGGCCGAAAGGCGUAGUCGAUGGGAAACAGGUUAAUAUUCCUGUACUUGGUGUUACUGCGAAGGGGGGACGGAGAAGGCUAUGUUAGCCGGGCGACGGUUGUCCCGGUUUAAGCAUGUAGGCUGGUUGUCCAGGCAAAUCCGGAUAAUCAAGGCUGAGGUGUGAUGACGAGGCACUACGGUGCUGAAGUAACAAAUGCCCUGCUUCCAGGAAAAGCCUCUAAGCAUCAGGUAACAUCAAAUCGUACCCCAAACCGACACAGGUGGUCAGGUAGAGAAUACCAAGGCGCUUGAGAGAACUCGGGUGAAGGAACUAGGCAAAAUGGUGCCGUAACUUCGGGAGAAGGCACGCUGGUGUGUAGGUGAAGUCCCUGCGGAUGGAGCUGAGACCAGUCGAAGAUACCAGCUGGCUGCAACUGUUUAUUAAAAACACAGCACUGUGCAAACACGAAAGUGGACGUAUACGGUGUGACGCCUGCCCGGUGCCGGAAGGUUAAUUGAUGGGGUUAUCCGUAAGGAGAAGCUCUUGAUCGAAGCCCCGGUAAACGGCGGCCGUAACUAUAACGGUCCUAAGGUAGCGAAAUUCCUUGUCGGGUAAGUUCCGACCUGCACGAAUGGCGUAAUGAUGGCCAGGCUGUCUCCACCCGAGACUCAGUGAAAUUGAACUCGCUGUGAAGAUGCAGUGUACCCGCGGCAAGACGGAAAGACCCCGUGAACCUUUACUAUAGCUUGACACUGAACAUUGAGCCUUGAUGUGUAGGAUAGGUGGGAGGCUUUGAAGCGUGGACGCCAGUCUGCGUGGAGCCAACCUUGAAAUACCACCCUUUAAUGUUUGAUGUUCUAACGUUGGCCCCUUACCGGGGUUGCGGACAGUGUCUGGUGGGUAGUUUGACUGGGGCGGUCUCCUCCCAAAGCGUAACGGAGGAGCACGAAGGUUAGCUAAUCCUGGUCGGACAUCAGGAGGUUAGUGCAAUGGCAUAAGCUAGCUUGACUGCGAGCGUGACGGCGCGAGCAGGUGCGAAAGCAGGUCAUAGUGAUCCGGUGGUUCUGAAUGGAAGGGCCAUCGCUCAACGGAUAAAAGGUACUCCGGGGAUAACAGGCUGAUACCGCCCAAGAGUUCAUAUCGACGGCGGUGUUUGGCACCUCGAUGUCGGCUCAUCACAUCCUGGGGCUGAAGUAGGUCCCAAGGGUAUGGCUGUUCGCCAUUUAAAGUGGUACGCGAGCUGGGUUUAGAACGUCGUGAGACAGUUCGGUCCCUAUCUGCCGUGGGCGCUGGAGAAUUGAGGGGGGCUGCUCCUAGUACGAGAGGACCGGAGUGGACGCAUCACUGGUGUUCGGGUUGUCAUGCCAAUGGCACUGCCCGGUAGCUAAAUGCGGAAGAGAUAAGUGCUGAAAGCAUCUAAGCACGAAACUUGCCCCGAGAUGAGUUCUCCCUGAGACUUUAAGUCUCCUGAAGGAACGUUGAAGACGACGACGUUGAUAGGCCGGGUGUGUAAGCGCAGCGAUGCGUUGAGCUAACCGGUACUAAUGAACCGUGAGGCUUAACCUUACAACGCCGAAG